rnacentral:tRNA from 1 species
CAUAUUAGAGUUUUUAUGAAUUUUUCUUUUACAUUGAAAAGGUCUCUUUUGGGUAAUAUGAUAA